rnacentral:rRNA from 1 species
UACGAAGGGGGCUAGCGUUGCUCGGAAUGACUGGGCGUAAAGGGCGCGUAGGCGGAUGGUACAGUCAGAUGUGAAAUUCCCGGGCUUAACCUGGGGGCUGCAUUUGAUACGUGUUGUUUAGAGUGAGGAAGAGGGUCGUGGAAUUCCCAGUGUAGAGGUGAAAUUCGUAGAUAUUGGGAGGAACACCAGUGGCGAAGGCGGCGUCCUGGCCUGCGACUGACGCUGUGGCGCGAAAGCUAGGGGAGCGAACGGG